CUCUGAUCUCUCUGUGUUUUGUUUGAAAGUGAUCUCAUAUUAGAAAGUGGAAAUGGUGAAGAUUGUGGAAAGCAUGAAGAGAGGCUUUCAUAAUUUUGUGGAAAUUGUAUCUUGUGGAAGCAAAGGUGUAAAGGAAAAUGAUGCAAAAACACCAGAGCUCAAAGCAGAGAUUAAUUAUGCACCGAAUAAACCAUCCGCAGAUGUUAAUUCUAGUGCUCGUGGGAUUGAAUCGCAUUAGAAGAUGAUAUAUUUUCCCCCCUCGAUUGUUAAUUUCUUAGUUGUCCUAUAUUUGUGUAUUUUAGCCAUAUUUAUUUCGUUUAUUUAAGUGUUUUUGUUAUGUAAAAUUUCCGGA